rnacentral:rRNA from 1 species
GAUUCUCCUAGUAACGGCGAGUGAACGGAGAUUAGCCCAUCACCGAAGUCUAUUCACUUUUGUGGACAGGACAAUGUGGUGUUUAGGCUUGUGCCUGGGAGUGCUUGCCUACUCGAAGUCCAACUCCGAUUAUGGCUAGGACCAUGCCCAGAGCGGGUGAAAGGCCCGUUCGGGUAGGUUUUGUUGUUUUGAAGCACUCCUCAGAUGCACUUGCCUUCGAGUCGGAUUGCUUGAGAAUGCAGUCCAAAGUGGGUGGUAAACUCCAUCCAAGGCUAAAUACUGGCACGAGUCCGAUAGUAGACAAGUACCGUGAGGGAAA